rnacentral:lncRNA from 1 species
CAGCCCUGAGCUCAGGAGCCGCCCCCAGGAACCGAGCGCAGGUGGCGGGCGUGGCUCCUUCAAGCCUGCCCCAGCCCACCCUGGCUCGGCCUCCGCGCAGCAGCCUCCGCCCGAGUUCGCCGGGUUCCAGCAUCAGGCCAUGGAGAUACAGAACACCAGUGGAUUGUUUUGCACGAAGUCUGAGAUUAGAGGAUGUUCAUGUCAUCUGGCAGGAACUCAGAAAUGCCUGUCGGGUGCUCUG